CCUACGGGUGGCAGCAGUGGGGGAUAUUGCACAAUGGGGGAAACCCUGAUGCAGCGACGCCGCGUGGGGGAAUGAAGGUCUUCGGAUUGUAAACCCCUGUCAUGUGGGAGCAAAUUAAAAAGAUAGUACCACAAGAGGAAGAGACGGCUAACUCUGUGCCAGCAGCCGCGGUAAUACAGAGGUCUCAAGCGUUGUUCGGAAUCACUGGGCGUAAAGCGUGCGUAGGCUGUUUCGUAAGUCGUGUGUGAAAGGCCCGGGCUCAACCCGCGGACGGCACAUGAUACUGCGAGACUAGAGUAAAGGAGGGGGAACCGGAAUUCUCGGUGUAGCAGUGAAAUGCGUAGAUAUCGAGAGGAACACUCGUGGCGAAGGCGGGUUCCUGGACAUUAACUGACGCUGAGGCACGAAGGCCAGGGGAGCGAAAGGGAUUAGAUACCCCUGUAGUC
rnacentral:rRNA from 1 species